AGUUACCAGCACGUUAUGGUGGGCACUCUAAGGAGACUGCCGGUAGACAAACCGGAGGAAGGUGGGGAUGACGUCAAGUCAUCAUGGCCCUUACGGCCUGGGCUACACACGUGCUACAAUGGUCGGUACAAAGGGUUGCCAAGCCGCGAGGUGGAGCUAAUCCCAUAAACCGAUCGUAGUCCGGAUCGCAGUCUGCAACUCGACUGCGUGAAGUCGGAAUCGCUAGUAAUCGUGAAUCAGAAUGUCACGGUGAAUACGUUCCCGGGCCUU
rnacentral:rRNA from 1 species